AGUGAACGCUGGCGGUAGGCCUAACACAUGCGAGUCGAACGGCAGCACAGUAAGAGCUUGCUCUUACGGGUGGCGAGUGGCGGACGGGUGAGGAAUACAUCGGAAUCUACUUUUUCGUGGGGGAUAACGUAGGGAAACUUACGCUAAUACCGCAUACGACCUACGGGUGAAAGCAGGGGAUCUUCGGGCCUUGCGCGAUUGAAUGAGCCGAUGUCGGAUUAGCUAGUUGGCGGGGUAAAGGCCCACCAAGGCGACGAUCCGUAGCUGGUCUGAGAGGAUGAUCAGCCACACUGGAACUGAGACACGGUCCAGACUCCUACGGGAGGCAGCAGUGGGGAAUAUUGGACAAUGGGCGCAAGCCUGAUCCAGCCAUACCGCGUGGGUGAAGAAGGCCUUCGGGUUGUAAAGCCCUUUUGUUGGGAAAGAAAAGCAGCAGGUUAAUACCCCGCUGUUCUGACGGUACCCAAAGAAUAAGCACCGGCUAACUUCGUG
rnacentral:rRNA from 1 species